CAUUUCUCGGAGAAAGUAACUCAUCGGUUGUCCAGUUCUGAGGUGACCUUCGUAAGCUUCAAGCCAGAGACGUCACUUCAUCACGGCUUCAUACAGCGUGGAGAGAUUUGUCCACUGGCUGCUGUGGUAGGGACAAAUUUGUAAAUACCCAUCACGUUUCGACAGAGUAUAUGAGUAACGGCACUUCUUCCCCAAUCAGGCAUUGGCUUUGGCGAAGACACCACAACCAUAUCAGGAAUUGAAUUAGGAAAAUCUCGACCGAUAUAAAUUCUCAAAGUGUAUUCGUUGUCGUUGUUUGUUUUCAGUGUGACUUCUAAUUUCGUAUCGCCGGUAGGAUCGAUCCAUUUUACACAACCAGGGAAGUAACGAUCCAGUA